UGAAAUUGAUCCUGGUCGCUUGAUAGUAUU
rnacentral:piRNA from 1 species